GCGACUUUUCGUUUCUGGUACAUUACCUCCAUGACCGCCAAAUGUAUGCCGUGAUUGUAGCAAAUCUGUUGAUGCGCUGGUGAUAGUCUCCCAAAUUUGAUCAUGACACUGGCACCAUCACUUGUAAUAGCCACGAUGUCGGACUGUAGUUUUAUAUUGAAGUCUGAAAGCUUUGGAUUUACGAGCUCAUAUACUUUUUCAGCGGGACAUGAUUCCUGAAUGCGAACCAGGCCAAGGUUGUCAGAUUGUCCAUCGUCAUAAUAUAUAUGGAUGUUCAUGUGACGUCGGUUUCGCACGCUUGUCCACUCGUCGAUGCUCAAGCUGAACUUACGCUGUGCAGAUUUAAAAUUUUCAAUUUUGAUCUUCAAAUCGCUUUUUAUUUUCGUGCAGUACUUCAUAACCAAACCCAGAACAGCUUUGUGACACUUUGGAAGAUGAAAUCCUAAGCGGCUGAUACUAUUACGAAUGAACUCACUUUUUGUUAUCGCGUUUAUUGGAAUUCCAUCUUUUGCAGCCAAUUUUGCAACAAUUUGUUCAAGCGAUUCAGGCGAGGAAGAAGUAUUGAAAAAGUUGUGAAGAGUUCGGGUCUUCUUGGCUGGUGGCUGUUCUUUUGGAGCCUCAUGUUCCCUUCGCUUCAUGUUGUGUAUCCUCUCCAUGUGACGGUGAAGUCCAGAUGUUGACGAUGACUUGCAUUUAAUGAUUUUAUUGCAUUUCAAACAUGUUGCUUCGUCGUCAAAUCGCUUGAAAAGCUGCCACACUUGGUCGUAUUCGUAUUCUGAACUCAUGAUUUUUAAUGCUAAAAAUUCAAAAUUUGUUUUAAAUUUUGGUUUUUAAAGGAAGUAACUAACCGGUAAUCGCAGUCAACGAUACGUCGAUUCAAAACUUAAAAAUAAGUAAUAUUUGGACCACAAAAUAUUUUAUUAUACGGUGUAUAAUUUAUACUUAAUCAGGUACCACAAAAUGAAAUGCACCCGCUCACUACAAAAAAUAAAUUUAAAACCGUCGUCUGUGCAGUCUGCGAACAAAUUGAAAUUGCUUGACUAUUUUCAAAGCAUUUCUAAUUGCUUAACUGCUGCUACAUAUAAGAAACACAUAAAACUAAACUUCAUUAGCUUGAUGUUACAGUGCUUUCCCUCGACAUAGCAUAGCAACGCAUCUAGCAUUUACUCUGUAGUCACCCUAAAACAAAAAAAAAAAAACAAACAAACAAAUGGAACAGUUAUACUGUUGUGGCUUUUCGCAUAGCAAUUGAAACUAUGGUGUGAAUUGUAUGUGAUUCUGCGAAACAGUAUGUAGUGUGCGAUUCUUUGUAACAUAAUGGCCGUUACAGUUUGGUGUUUCCAGGUAUUAAUCAUAUUUGUUUAUAGUGAUUAAAUACUUACGAUUGCGGAAUGCAUCCGAUAGAAAAGCCGACAAGUCCACGUAAAAUUAAAAGCCAGGUGAAGUUGGGAGCCACAGAACUGAGUAAACUAUACAACACAAGCAGCACUCCACAAAAUGUUAAGGCCUGGAAUUGAAUUAUAUUAUAAAAUAUAAAUGUACCUUAAAUAUCGACUUAUGUUUUCAAAGUCCUGCCGUUCGUUAAACAUAGUCCCGAUGAAAUACAGUUGUUUGGUGACUGAACGUCAAUACUUUGUGUUCUCUGUCCGUCUGUGGAAUACCUUACCUUACAAAAUUAAACGCAUAAAAGAAAGCUCGUGCUUCAAAAAUAAAUUGUUUCGCUACCUUGCCUUUUUUAAUAGCUUCUCCAACUUCAACUUCUUUACCACUAGCUAUA